UGUAACCCAGGGUAAAAACUGCCCUUAAUCCCGCCUUUGGUGCUCCAUUGGUUAGAGUGACAGUCAGUCACACAGUGCAUUCAGCCAAUCACUGCAUCUUGAGUGGUGUGAGGGGGAGAGCUGGAGACAAAGGAGCCACAGAUCUGAACAUCCAGUGAGCUUGGAGCCAUGAAGUUGUCAUGCACUGAACUAUAUAUGGAAUUGGCCAGGUGAUCCCUUUGUAGGGUUAAAGGAUGGCGAGCUUCUGACAACUGGCUGGAGCCAGGAGAACCUGAAAUUUACUCCACACUGGUCUGGUAGGAGUCUGAUGGUCCAUAACAUUUCCCCCUCCAUCUCACUACAUAGACACACAAUCCAUUAUUCAUCCCUUCUCUGGUGGAAACAAAUUGCUCUUGGACAUUUUUCCAUCUCAAAUAACUGGACAAUUAAAACAUGAACUUUUAAAUGUGUGUCAGUCAGACAAUGUGCUGACCAGCGGGGAA